rnacentral:rRNA from 1 species
AGCUACAGGCUUAACACAUGCAAGUCGAGGGGCAGCAUGGUCUUAGCUUGCUAAGGCCGAUGGCGACCGGCGCACGGGUGAGUAACACGUAUCCAACCUGCCGUCUACUCUUGGACAGCCUUCUGAAAGGAAGAUUAAUACAAGAUGGCAUCAUGAGCCCGCAUGUUCACAUGAUUAAAGGUAUUCCGGUAGACGAUGGGGAUGCGUUCCAUUAGAUAGUAGGCGGGGUAACGGCCCACCUAGUCUUCGAUGGAUAGGGGUUCUGAGAGGAAGGUCCCCCACAUUGGAACUGAGACACGGUCCAGACUCCUACGGGAGGCAGCAGUGAGGAAUAUUGGUCAAUGGGCGAGAGCCUGAACCAGCCAAGUAGCGUGAAGGAUGACUGCCCUAUGGGUUGUAAACUUCUUUUAUAAAGGAAUAAAGUCGGGUAUGGAUACCCGUUUGCAUGUACUUUAUGAAUAAGGAUCGGCUAACUCCGUGCCAGCAGCCGCGGUAAUACGGAGGAUCCGAGCGUUAUCCGGAUUUAUUGGGUUUAAAGGGAGCGUAGAUGGAUGUUUAAGUCAGUUGUGAAAGUUUGCGGCUCAACCGUAAAAUUGCAGUUGAUACUGGAUAUCUUGAGUGCAGUUGAGGCAGGCGGAAUUCGUGGUGUAGCGGUGAAAUGCUUAGAUAUCACGAAGAACUCCGAUUG